UGGGGAAUAUUGGACAAUGGGCGAAAGCCUGAUCCAGCCAUGCCGCGUGUGUGAAGAAGGUCUUCGGAUUGUAAAGCACUUUAAGUUGGGAGGAAGGGCAUUAACCUAAUACGUUAGUGUUUUGACGUUACCGACAGAAUAAGCACCGGCUAACUCUGUGCCAGCAGCCGCGGUAAUACAGAGGGUGCAAGCGUUAAUCGGGAUUACUGGGCGUAAAGCGCGCGUAGGUGGUUUGUUAAGUUGGAUGUGAAAUCCCCGGGCUCAACCUGGGAACUGCAUUCAAAACUGACUGACUAGAGUAUGGUAGAGGGUGGUGGAAUUUCCUGUGUAGCGGUGAAAUGCGUAGAUAUAGGAAGGAACACCAGUGGCGAAGGCGACCACCUGGACUAAUACUGACACUGAGGUGCGAAAGCGUGGGGAGCAAACA
rnacentral:rRNA from 1 species